rnacentral:misc_RNA from 1 species
GAUGAAGAACGCAGCGAAAUGCGAUAAGUAAUGUGAAUUGCAGAAUUCAGUGAAUCAUCGAAUCUUUGAACGCACAUUGCGCCCGCCAGUAUUCUGGCGGGCAUGCCUGUUCGAGCGUCAUUACAACCCUCAGGCCCCCGGGCCUGGCGUUGGGGAUCGGCGGAGCCCCCCGUGGGCACACGCCGUCCCCCAAAUGCAGUGGCGGUCCCGCCGCAGCUUCCAUCGCGUAGUAGCUAACACCUCGCGACUGGAGAGCGGCGCGGCCACGCCGUACAACACCCAACUCUUCUGAAGUUGACCUCGAAUCAGGUAGGAAUACCCGCUGAACUUAAGCAUAUCAAUAAGCGGAGGA